AUAAAAUUGAAGAAAAAUUUUUGAAGGAAAAAGGAAAAGGUUUGUCUAAGUAAAUUGCAGAUAUAUAUUUUAUUCAUAUUACACUUUCCUUUUUCCAUUCUAAUCACUGCUCAAAUCCUAAACUCUUAUGCUGUGUGUUUGGUUUAAGAAUUCCCCCUUCUCUUCUCAAAUUGCCCCUCAAAUCCUCAAAUCCUAAACCCUUAUGUCGUAUUUGGUUUAAAAAUUUACGAACAGAUUUAAAAAGAAAAAAA